rnacentral:tRNA from 1 species
GCAGUCGUGGCCGAGUGGUUAAGGCGAUGGACUAGAAAUCUAUUCGCGUCUCCCCGCAGUUUCAUAUCCUGUCGACUGCG